AUGGUGGCUGGUGAUGAGAUUCACGGCGAAGAAGACGAUUUGCGGUGGCCAGAAAUGGAGUUCACGGUGGUGGUCGACUGGAGCUCACGGCGGCGCCACCGUGAAAUGUCUGAUUUAACAACAACAAAUAACUCAGAAGCACAAGAAAUGAGAGGGGAGUCGCGUUCAGAGAAAGAAUAUCAUCCUUGUGAUGGAAGAAGAGUGAAGAACAUAGGACGGAAGAGCUCCGACAGUGGUUAG